AGGUUAUGGUGUGGACACUUCCUCAACAAAUCUUUGUACCUCUCUCAAGCUUUAAACAAACUCUCUUGAACAUGGUGAGCAAAGGUCAUUAUCUCAUUUCGAAGCUU
rfam:Jatropha curcas cultivar GZQX0401 scaffold490_12, whole genome shotgun sequence.